rnacentral:rRNA from 1 species
GAUGAACGCUGGCGGCGUGCCUAAUACAUGCAAGUCGAGCGGAAGGACGAGAAGCUUGCUUCUCUGUUGUUAGCCGCGCACGGGUGUGUCACACGUGGAUAACCUCCUUAUAUUACUGGGAUAACUUCGGGACUCGGGCGCUAAUACCGUAUAAUCUUUUGCACCGCAUGGUUCGAUGGUGAAAGUCGGUGUUGCUGUCACUUAUAGAUGCUUCCGCGCUGCAUUAGCUAGUUGGUAGGGUAACGGCUUACCACGGCAACGAUGCAUAGCCGACGUGAGAGGGUGAUCGGCCACAUUGGAACUGAGACACGGUCCAGACUCCUACGGGAGGCAGCAGUAGGGAAUCUGCGGCAAUGGGCGGAAGCCUGACGGAGCGGCGCCGCGUGAGUGAUGAAGGUCUUCGGAUCGGAAAACUGUGUUAUGAGUGAAAAACAUAUGUGUAAGUAACUGUGCACAUCUUGACGGUACCGAAUCAGAAAGCCACGGCUAACUACGUG